GGUCGAGUGGCGCAAUGGUAGCGCGUUACUUUCCGGUUCUAUCGUGUGGCCGCCCUUCAUUAAGGGAAAAGGCUGUCGUGUUCCAGCUGGUAAAGGUUCUGGGUUCGAAUCCCAGCUUGAUCG